rnacentral:SRP_RNA from 1 species
GCCGGGCGUGGUGGUGUGCACCUGUAAUCCCAGCUACUUGGGAGGCUGAGGCAGGAGAAUCCCUUGAACCUGGGAGGUGGAGUUUGCAGUGAGCUGAGAUGGCGCCACUGCACUCCAGCGUGGGUGACAGAGCGAGACUCUGUCUCAAAAAAAAAAAAAAGUGUAAUAAAAUACACAUAGCAUAAAUGUAUCAUUUUAACCCCCGUCUCCCAGGCUGGAGUGCAGUGGUGCGACCUUAGCCCACUGCAAUCUCCACCUCCCAGGUUCAAGGGAUACUCCUGCCUCA